UACGCAGGGUGCGAGCGUUAAUCGGAAUUACUGGGCGUAAAGCGUGCGCAGGCGGCUUCGCAAGUCAGGUGUGAAAUCCCCGGGCUUAACCUGGGAAUGGCGUCUGAAACUAGGGAGCUGGAGUGUGGCAGAGGGAGGUAGAAUUCCACGUGUAGCGGUGAAAUGCGUAGAUAUGUGGAGGAAUACCGAUGGCGAAGGCGGCCUCCUGGGCCAACACUGACGCUCAUGCACGAAAGCGUGGGGAGCAAACAGG
rnacentral:rRNA from 1 species